rnacentral:rRNA from 1 species
CACGUAGGGCGCAAGCGUUGUCCGGAAUUAUUGGGCGUAAAGAGCUCGUAGGCGGUCUGUUGCGUCCGCUGUGAAAACUCGGGGCUUAACCCCGAGCCUGCAGUGGAUACGGGCAGACUAGAGGUAGGUAGGGGAGAAUGGAAUUCCCGGUGUAGCGGUGAAAUGCGCAGAUAUCGGGAGGAACACCAGUGGCGAAGGCGAUCAUCUGGGGCUGUUCUGACGCUGAGGAGCGAAAGCUAGGGGAGCAAACAGG